UCCAGUUCCAAAAUAAAUUUAAAACUUGUCUUACAGUAACACAAGUUGAUUUAGCACUUUCAAAUCGAUUCUACCGACAUUGUUGCAUUUAUCCCAAAAAGUCACAGAUUUGAAAAGAAAAAAAAAUUAUAUUCUCUUAUUCUUCUGAGUUUCCGGUAAAAAGUGCUUGUAGCUUAUGACGUACGUAUACGUACAAUACUUACGUUAAUUUUUGACUGUAUCCCCGUAUUCCAAAAACAUAUUAACUUUUUACCAUAAUAAAACACUUUAAACAAAAAAAUUCUAAUCUUUGAAUCUCAGAAGAAACUCUCCCUUGAAUUUUAUUCAUUUUUUUUUAUAUACUAAUCUGUUUUUUUUCCACUGCAUGAGCCUGUCGAGAGUUUCUUCUGCAUUUCUAAUCUUACCGACUUGACAAUUAAUGAAUGAAUGAAUAGAAGCAAAGCCACCUAAGAAAUAUUUUGUUUUUAUAAAAUGUGUUUACUUAUCUGUUUUUUCCUUCCUAUAUUGCAAAAAAAGUACCGGUUUUAAAAAGUUUUUGUUCCCACUGCUAAUCAGGUGACAAGGCAAAUAGUAUUUAUAAUGGUCACAGCAUUCUAGACACAAUUUUGAAAAAGUAAAUAAAAAAAAAACAAAAAAAGAUAAAAACCGUCCUAUCCUACGUACUAUCCUCCUGAAUCCAAAAAAUGAAAAAAAUAUAGGUUGUGCCAUUUGCAAUUCGAAAGUUACUGUAAGUUAAAGUGAUUUCCGCUCAGACCGGAAGUGCAACCAUUGACUACAUAUUGUCCAAAAAUUGGACAUUCACCAAAUUUCAAGUCGCAAUUUUAAGCCGUUUAAAAGUUAUAGUGUGCCCACUUUCUUGUGUCACCCGGCAUGUUUAUAAAUUUCACAUUUAUAAGAAAAAUAUGUUCUAGACAAUCGCUCCUCAAUUAAGAUGAGAAGGUUUGAUUCCAGAUUUUAGUGUAUCUCAAAUAUUGUUGAGAGUUUCAGGAAUAGGAACUUUAGUAAAGAGGAACUCUAAAUCAAAACUAAUUUUUUAAUUGAUCAAUGAAGUGAAAGGAAUUAAGUACGAAACUGUCAGUAUUCCCUGAAAAGGAUUUUAAUAUAGAAUCAAGAACUUUUGCUAGAGAAUAGGUUGGAGAACAAUGGCGCUAACAAUAGGCCGAAAGGAUAAAACCAUAUAUAAGUAGGUGCAUGCAAUGCAAACCAAUUUCCUCUACGCUCUGAAGAAGCUGACUGGAUAAUUGAGGAAACGUUAACAACUGACGCAGCAAGAAUCCCGAAGAACUGCAAAUAGUAUUACAGUAGCCUGUUCUAUUUCUUUGAACAAUUACCAGUGAAAAAUGGUUAAUAUUCAAAUACGCUAACAAAUUCGGACAGUUUGUAACGUUACAUACCAAUAUAUAAAAGAAGAUAACUGACAGUAGCACCAACGUUUAAGACUAUUUAUAUCAAAUCUGUCUAAAUACAAUACAUAAUUGAGACCUCUAGGUGGAUAUGCACCGUCAGCUUUGAACAGCAGCUGUAACUAAAAUGCUUGUGUCAUCUGGCUACAGUACAAAUAAUGCAUCUAUAUUAUCCUGAGGAAGAUCGUUAAUAAAACAAUUAAAGAGGAGCGGUGAUAAGCAGGAUCCUUGCGGGGUACCUCUGCCUACAUAUUGACAGCUAGAUUUUGAACCGCCGAUCACAACCUGCUGUACUCUCUCGGAGAGUAACCGUAGACCGGGAGUUAUAAAAGCCGUGCCGAGUUUGUGAGAUAGAGACAAGAUUGUGAUUGAAGCAUUGCUUACGUAACUUUUUUCACCACUCUCAAAAAUAGGACAAACUCUGAAUCCUUCCAAUAUCGAAGAUAAACUUCAGAAGAAAGCACUAGUUUAGAAAUAUAAAACGUUUUAUUUUAGUUAUCUUUAUUGUAGGACCAGACUCGAUUAGACUUAGCGAAAAAAAUGUCACACAAUUUCUUUGUAGAAACGUGCUGCAUGCAAUGAAAAUAGUUGCUAUUAUGCAUGUUGUUUCUUAAAUAUUUCACAGCACCUAACAUCCUUAUUUUAAAUGGAACGUCCGGUAAAUUGUUUCACAAUAGUCUUCAGUCAAUAGUAUAUGAAAUCCUGAACUUAUUUUUUGUAGCCCUUGGAUUCUAAGUUUGGUGGUGGUAUAAAAGAGCUAAUGUACUCUUGCCUCGUCUUUACUAAUUUAAAUUCAGACGAAUAACACAGGUUCAUUACGGGAAGAAUGUUAGAGCUUACUCAGAACAAAAAAUUUAUGAUAUAUUAUUGUCAUAUUUUGUUCACCUUCAUGUUGUAUUUUUUGUUUCUUGCGUUCCAUGUUUUGUGUCGUUUCUUUCAUUGACUAACUAAUAGUUAACACUAGAAUUUUUGCCUCUUGUCAAUUAUAUUUUAUUUCUGGAACGACAUUAAAAUUGAAAAUAUGAAAUAACAUAAAAGUCGUUUUAAAUAGGUAUGAAUGCAGAAUUAUUUUGCAUCUGGUCAUCCAAGAUGUGACAUUGAAAAAAGCAAAGUAAAGCAAUGCAAUUUCUUACCAAAAAUUGGACACCCCAUAUGA